GUGAACUUAUUUGGGUCCUAAUGCUUGAAUUUCGGUUUAUCUAUGACCAGGCCGUGAAUUUUACUCAAGUUCUUAUUUCUUCAUCAGCAUGUUGUCAUUUGAUUAUCUGUACUUGUACAUAUUAGAAAUUGUCUCACAUGUAUGUUCUUGUUGAGUACUUGUGCAGGGCUAACUAUCAUGGAAUAUGUCAAAGAGAAGGUUAAGGAGAAGUCACUGGUUGCAGGUUUGGGAGAAUCUAUUGCAUUCUUGGAUUCUUGUAAUCUAUUAAAAUGUGAUGUUGAAAAUAUUUUGGAUAGCGAAGAGGUAUUAAAUUGUAUAGCUGCUAAAUCGAGAAAGAGACAAGCAAAUAGGUCAGUGAAUCUCACUUGAUUACUGCUUUAGAUUGGCUUGUGAGGUUUCAGGCAUACAAAUGGGAUUAUUGAAGAGUAACAAAGGAGAAAACGAGUCUUUGUUGCUCUUAUAUCAUGUAAUGUAUUUUGAACCAAAAAAAAGAAGAAAAGAUAAUGCUUAUUGUUUUUUACUCCUACCAGAACUGCCUAGUACUUCACUUUUAGACAUGGGCUACAGCUUUUAGCACUGUUAGCUGAUCUUUAUGAUGUUAUUCAUGCUAAGACCUUGAUGUAUUUCAUUUAGAGCACUGAAUACUAACAUAUGUGUUUAAAACAUCAUAUUAUGUAGGGUCAUGAACUUGUGUGUCUGUAUGUGUUAUCAGAAUCUUGUGAUUAUUUUUAGGUGCAAAUUCUUUAGAAUAUUUGAAUAGGGCCAAUAAUUUGAAAAAAAAAAUUUGCUUCUUCUCUUAACAAAAUUUUAUCUUACAACUUGCCAUGGCUUCUUUCUCUUUUGCUCAUACCCACUAUUGCUACCAUAUUUAUAGAUACAUUUGUACUAGACAUGAUAAGAUUUUCAUCUUGUCUUUUUAUGGUCCAAGCAUAUACAAGCACCUUCGUAUUACAAAGAUGCCUCACAAAUUCUAAUCUUCUUGUCUUCAAACUUUUAUUCUAGCUCACAGUUUCAGCUAAUUUUGUGAAGAUAUGAAAUUAUCUAGAUGAGGCCCUUUUUUCAAUUAUGGUGUGAAAUCAAUGUUAGGCAUUUUUUAAAAGCUAAUGUGCUUUUUUUUAUUUAUUUAUCUCUUUUCUUUUCUGUGUUAGAAGACAUAACGAGGAAAGUCAGAGGAAACGGAAACACAAAAAAAUAGCAAAAAGUAUAAGUGGUCUCUAAAUUAGAGGAACAACCUCAUCAAAUUUUGGUAACAAAAAGUUGGAUGGGUAACUGAUGAUUAAAGACAUGCCACAAUCUCCUGAAUGUGUCAUUUCUUUCAAGAGCAUUGUCUUCUGAACUUUUAUUUGCCUCUAUGUCAAUUAUAACUACAUUGUAUAUGUAUGGAAAUUAAUUUAUUUGUUUUUCUGUUUCUCUCUCUGUUUCCAUUUUAAUUUACUUUUUGUUUUUCUGUAUGCCUUAAGGAUAUUCUUUCUAUUCCUUCUUCUCUUUGUAUGUAUUUGUAUCUUAAUGGGAAUGAAUUUUCGCUUCUUUCUUCUCAUAUAUUUUUCCAUUUAUGGUGAUAUUAUAUUUUGUUCUUUCAAAAUUUGGUUUGCAUAUAAACUGUUUGAUUAAACUCCAAGAUGGUAAAUUACAAUAUAAUAUUUUGAGUUAGGUGGCUCUUCUAUUUUGACAAAAGCUUGAGAUUGGUUAAGAAAACGCAGAACUCAUGAUGUUAAUGCCUCUAAAAAAAAAAGCUAGGAAUGUCGUUGAGAUCAUGAAACUUAAAAUUUUGUUGGCUCUUAAUCUUUUUCUCUCAAUGGGCACAUGGGUCCUUUUGGCUCAUGGAGAUUGUUUAUGUACGUGGAGAUUGUUUUAUUCUUUGUCAUGCAUUUUGCUAUGCAUGGUACAUAUCAACAUUGUUGUAUAUUUUUCCUUAUUCAGUAAUUGACCACUGUUAUGAUUGUAAGAUACCUUGCCUAAUUUAUCUACCAAAGUCACGAAUGACUUUCAAAGUUAAAAGAGAAAAGGCUGAAUUGUUAAGCUCAAAUUGCUGUAACUAUUUAAGUAGUUAAACUUAAAAGACUCCAGGGCCAAAAUAAAAUGAUUUGUGGAUUAUAUUAUAAGUAAGCUAUCAUUUGUGUGAGUAUUUUUAUUUGAAAUAAGUAAUCAAAGUUUGUAGUUUGGUAACAAGUGUAAGGAAACAUGGUAGUUCAUUAUGAGUUUUGCAUUAUUAUACAACACAUUACACUUUUUUUGUACACUUGAUACCUUCUUAGUUGUAACAUUAUCUCAAGAUAAAAGCUUGAAGGAAUUAUUGGAUGAAAGAUGUUCACCUUGUAUAGGAAUAGCUUAUCCUUAUUUAUAUGGACUCUUCAUGCUUUUUAAAGUGCUUUCUUUCUGUAUAAAUUGGCUGCGUUUUAUUUUCCUGUUACUAGCAUAUGCUCUCUAUUUUGUAUGCUUGAUUCUUGAUUACUGGAUUGAGUUUAAAUGGGUAUUUGCUUCAGGUGUAUGAGAAGCUUCUUGGGAGCCAAUGCUUUAAAUUCUUGUGGUGAUUUCAUGAAAUGCAGAGAAUGAAAUUCUUGAAUAUAUUAUAUGGACUACUGAAAAUUUGUUGCUGGUUCACUUCAUCGGUCUCUGUGUUGCAUUCUAGUUUCUUUUAAGGAUCUUGAUAUUAUAUUAUUUUCUUGUAGAACUUAUUUUAAAGCAUACUUAGAGCUUUUCUGGUAAACAUACUAAUGGUGUCAUAUGCGUACUUACUAUACAUAAUGACUACUGUAAUGCAUGUUGGUGAAUUGGAUUGCUUACUUAUUUAUAAUGGUUAUAUUUGAUAAUGGUUGAAGCGUGUCUAUGAGUUUGAUUUUCUAUUUUGUAUUGGAAUGAAAGAUAAUUAAAAAGUGGGGAUCUAUUUUUGAACCUUGUUUGCUUCAAUCUACUAAUUGCUUACAAAAAUAGAAGAAGCUCUAUUCUAUUUUUGUUUUUUUUUCCUAUAAGCUACUUUUUAGUUUUGUACCUCUAUUGUUAGUGGUCUUGGAAUUCAGCGAUAGCGGGUACUCUGUUUGGUAGUGGAAAUUUCUCUUCGUUCUCUUAGCUUAUUGUUUCUCUUUUGUGUUUUUUGAUGGUUUAACACAAUGCUAUCUCUUGGGCUAUUAUCUUUCUGAUCUGAACAGCACAAAAGAACAAUUUCUAUCAAAUAUUACUUGAUGUAAAUACUAUGCUUUAAUUUAUCUUUGACUUCUAUCACUUUGCUUAGUUUAUGAUUGGUCUAUUUUUCAAAAUAAAAUAAUUUACCAAGUAAACAAUAGACUUUAUAGCAGGUAAUUCUUGAGACUAGUAUGAAUAUAACUGAUUUUUUAUUAGAGAGCAAGCCUUAUUUUUUUAAUUUGUAAAUAUGAUUUUGUUUUUCAGAAUUUGGGUUAGCAUUUAUAACUUGAAUUUCAAAUUGGAAGGUCACUUUUGUUUUAAUACUAUGAAAAUUUCAGGGUCAUGUAUAGUUUCUCCUUGAAAUUAACAUGAUUUUACUUCUCAUUAUAUAGUUUCUCCUUUAAUUUUCUUGAUUUUACCUAACUGAAGACAUUGAGACAUACAGAGUUUCUUGAAUCAUGGGGUGACAAGGUAUUCAAAGAUAAAUGGUGGGUGUUUCAAGGUGUGUAGAGUGUCUACUUCUAUUUUUGUUGUUAUUGAAUUUUUGGAGCUUGUUUUCCUUGGUAAAAAAUAAAAUUUUAUUUUAGCAAGAAUGAAAAAGAUAAAAUAUAUUGUAGUUGUUGCAUCACUUUAUGUCUUAAUCAAUUGUUAGUAACUUGAUCUUGGGAAUUGGUAGUUUAGUUUGUUGGCUGGAAUUUCAUUGCAUUAGAAAGCUUUAGGGAGUUUAGUUGAUACAAGAGGAAUUGUACAUUCGUGUCUUCAAACUUGAAAAACUUGAAAAGCAGGAAAACCUCGCUGAACCCAUUAUUUUCAUGUUGCUGGAAUUAAAUCAAUAAUUAGAGUUCUCAACUGUAACUUUAAUGAAAUUUAUUUGAAAAAAAAAAGAUGAAUUUUUUAGAUGCUGUUUUCAAUUUUGAUCCAUAGUACAAAUUGCAAUCUAUGAAGUAAGAUUCUUUUUUUUGAUUGAGGAGCCUUAUUGUUUUGGUGUGGUAAUUAUGUUGUUAUGCAUUGCUAUUUUUGAAUUUUACCUUUUGUUGGUGAUGAUGGCUUUGUAUUUAUACAGGUGGAGGUUAGACUGUCUCUAAGAUUACUCUAGCAACUGUCUCUAUUGUUUGGUUAGCUACUGGAGUUUGCUUUUUCAUUGCUUUGCCAAACCAUUCCUGGCUUUGGUUGAUUAACAUUUUUAAGAAAGAUUCAUUCUUUAGUUACCUUUCCUUUUCUUUUGUUUUGAAUUUUGAGUUUCAAACAAUUCAGUUCGAUUAAAAAAUAUCGGAAAGCUAGAUGAUAAAAGCAUUUGUUUGCUUCAAUUUAUUGGCUUAAUCACUUUAUCAUAAUUAGCUUAGGUUUCUAAAUUCCAUUUGCUAUGAAAUAUAUUAUUGAUUCACUUUCUGACUUGGAACUGAUUCUUUCCGUUUUCAUCUCAAUCCAAGUCUUUAUGACAGUCAUCAAAUAUAUUCCUCACGUUAGAAAUGCCUUAUUUCUUUUUUCCCAUUAGAAAAAAUAUCAACUGUUUUAAAUAUAAUCUUAUGUAACAUCAGUGAUGGAAUAAUUUAGCUAUCCAAAAGGUUUUCUUUUUCGUUUCUUAUUACUGUAUGAGUAGAGAAUUAGAGACAGUAAUACUAUGUUGUCAAUAGUUCUUCUAUAUCAUUUUCCCCUAUAAGUUAUUUUGAUGGUUUCUUUCAGGAGACUGCUCAUGAGACAGUAAUACUAUGUUGUACUUUAUGCAUGCUUUAUGUUUUUGAAGUAAUGUGGUGCCUGCAUAAUAGUUUCUUAUUCCCAGUUUUUGUUUCUUAAUAUUUGAGUUGUUUAAAAUAUGGUUUGAGUUGCUCCUUUUUGGGCAAGUGUUUUUUCUCAUUAGUUUUUGUUUUAGUGUGUUUUUGUCUCAUCCCAUUACACUCUGUUUAGCUCUUUUUUCUCUGUCCUAGACUGUUUACAUUUGUUGAGUUCAUGUCUGAAAAAGUGAUUGUUUGUUAAUCAAAAUAUCCAUAUUUUGGUGCACGUAUAUAAGUGAACCUUGCAUCAUUAUUUAUGUACACAGAUUUAUAGAGCACUAAGAGAAAAAGAAGAGAGAAAGAGAGAGUUCAGUGAGUUAUAGAGGUUGGAGUUCUUGUGAGAAGCUUGUUCAAAGAAAGCUAAAACUGAGAACUUUUCUCUUUGUACUGAAGCCUUGUAAUUAUUCUAGAUUGAUCAUAGUGAAAACUCACGUAGGCCAAUUCCACUGAACCAUGUAUAUUGUGGUGUUCUUUUGACUACUGUUUUUAUCAUUCAUUAAAGUUUGUGAUUUGUUUCUGUUUCUGGCAUUAUUUCUUGUUUGUGUUUGUUUUUUUUUUUUCUGGUUCGUUUUUUUGGUGUUCUUGGCAGGUUAUUAAAGGGUUCAAUCACUUUCAAUAUCAUCCUCUACGUAACAGAAGGGUUAGACUAAUUCUUCUUGUUUUUCUUAUUAUUGUAAAACACUUGCACUAUUCUUCUAGUAGGUUUCUUCUCAUUUUUCCUUAAUUGAUGUCCAAGAGAUGGAUGCAAUAGUGUCAUGUUUUAAUGCUUUUGAAACUAAGUAAGCAGGCCCACUAAUUCUAACAUGGGCAGUGUUUCUUUGUUUGAUUUCAUCACUUCUGGGCAAAGAAGAAAACAAUGUUCUAAUGGUAUGCAUUUCAGUUUGGCUUUUUCUUUCCCCCCCUGCACUAUACUGUUACAGUAUUUAAUUAUUGGGGAGAGGUUUGGCUGCAUAAUGAUUGUCUUUCAGGGUCAUUUAUUGAUUAUUUUGUUGAUUUUUCAUUGGUGGUUCUAUUAAAGUUGACAUUUUUCUUUUCCUUCGUAGUUUUUUGAUUGUAUUUAUUGCUUUAAAAAUUUUCAAGAAUCACUUUGCAGUCAGUUUUGGGACAGAGAACGUUUUGUUGAUGGUCCUAUUCGGUGUCUUCUUUGUAACCUAGAAGGUGAAUUUCCCUUCAGGACAGUGGAACUUAUUUGCCUCUUAUCAUCCCUAUCUGAAGGAACUUGGCUAGCAGAAUGUGUGAGAAAAAUGUCUCUUUCUCCAUCAAUUGGAGGAGAAAAUGAUACUUAAUUUUGAAGGCUUUGUGUUGGGUAUCUGUAGAAUAUUUUGUGCUGAAAGUAGUAACUUUUCAAUAUGUUGAAUAUUUAAGACUACUUGAAUACUUAAAGAACAUUUUCUUGUUGAUGACAGUGUUGAAUGUUUUAAACUAAUUUGUAGA